rnacentral:rRNA from 1 species
AGUGAACGUUGGCGGCGUGGAUUAGGCAUGCGAGUCGAGCGAGAACCGUAGCAAUACGGGGACAGCGGCGAAAGGGACAGUAAUAUGUAGGUACCUACCCUCGGGUCCGGGGUAGCUGCGGGAACCUGCAGGUAAGACCGGAUGACAUCUCCGGAUCAAAGGUGUGAUUCAGCCCGGGGAGGGGCCUGCAUCCAAUUAGCUAGUUUGCGGGGUAACGGCCCAGCAAGGCGGCGAGUGGUAGCGGGUGUGAGAGCACGACCUGCGUCAUUGGGACUGAGACACUGCCCAGACACCUACGGGUGGCGGCAGUCGAGAAUCUUCGGCAAUGGGGGGAACCCUGACCGAGCGACGCCGCGUGCGGGAUGAAGGCCUUCGGGUUGUAAACCGCUGUCGUAGAGGAGGAAAUGCAGUGGGGUUCUCCCCUCUGUUUGACCUAGUCUAGGAGGAAGGACGGGCUAAGUUCGUGCCAGCAGCCGCAGUAA